rnacentral:rRNA from 1 species
UACGUAGGGGGCAAGCGUUAUCCGGAUUUACUGGGUGUAAAGGGAGCGUAGACGGCUGUGCAAGCCAGAUGUGAAAGCCCGGGGCUCAACCCCGGGACUGCAUUUGGAACUGUGUAGCUGGAGUGUCGGAGAGGCAGGCGGAAUUCCUAGUGUAGCGGUGAAAUGCGUAGAUAUAUGGAAGAACACCAGUGGCGAAAGCGGCUCUCUGGUCUGUAACUGACGCUGAGGUUCGAAAGCGUGGGUAGCAAACAGG